rnacentral:rRNA from 1 species
UACGUAGGGUGCAAGCGUUAUCCGGAAUUAUUGGGCGUAAAGAGCUCGUAGGCGGUUUGUCGCGUCUGCUGUGAAAACUCGAGGCUCAACCUCGAGACGCCGGUGGAAACUGCAAAGCUAGAGUCCGGAAGAGGAGAGUGGAAUUCCUGGUGUAGCGGUGAAAUGCGCAGAUAUCAGGAAGAACACCCGUGGCGAAGGCGGCUCUCUGGGACGGUACUGACGCUGAGACGCGAAAGCGUGGGGAGCGAACAGG